rnacentral:rRNA from 1 species
AAAAACUCCGGUGGUAUGAGAUGGACCCGCGUCUGAUUAGCUAGUUGGUGGGGUAACGGCCUACCAAGGCGACGAUCAGUAGCCGACCUGAGAGGGUGACCGGCCACAUUGGGACUGAGACACGGCCCAAACUCCUACGGGAGGCAGCAGUGGGGAAUAUUGCACAAUGGGGGAAACCCUGAUGCAGCGACGCCGCGUGAGCGAAGAAGUAUUUCGGUAUGUAAAGCUCUAUCAGCAGGGAAGAAAAUGACGGUACCUGACUAAGAAGCCCCGGCUAACUACGUGCCAGCAGCCGCGGUAAUACGUAGGGGGCAAGCGUUAUCCGGAUUUACUGGGUGUAAAGGGAGCGUAGACGGCGAGGCAAGUCUGAUGUGAAAACCCGGGGCUCAACCCCGUGACUGCAUUGGAAACUGUUUUGCUUGAGUGCCGGAGAGGUAAGCGGAAUUCCUAGUGUAGCGGUGAAAUGCGUAGAUAUUAGGAGGAACACCAGUGGCGAAGGCGGCUUACUGGACGGCAACUGACGUUGAGGCUCGAAAGCGUGGGGAGCAAACAGGAUUAGAUACCCUGGUAGUCCACGCCGU